UCCAAAACAUGAUUUGUCGCAUCCCAUAUCCAACGCAUGACAUGGCUGUGCUACCGAAGGGUACAGCCCACGAUAAUACAAUGCCAACAUUACAUUUAACUUUCAGAUCCAUCUCAAAAAAAUAAUAGAAUUAAUAGGAAUUCAAUUUCAUCAUCCAUUAAAUAAAACCAAUAUUAGUUCAGAGCGUCUAAAUUCAAACAUAAAAACCAAACCCAUAAUCUACUAUUCAAAAAAAUACUAACUAUAAUUUCAUAAUCAAUUGAAGAACUAAAGUUCUCCUCUGCUAUAUACAUCGUCAAGCUUGCUAGUGCAAACUCCAAGCCUCUAUCAUCCUUUGUUUCUAUCAACCUUAUUCGUUUGGAGAGAGAAAAAAAAAUAGAGAUAUAUGAGUGUCACAGCUCAGUAAGUAAACCUUUCACUACCUUACUUGAUCAAGCAUAAAUUUUUUGCAUGUCAAUGCAUUAUUAAAAUAUAAUAACAGAUAUUACAAAAUAAAACAUUUUAUAGUACAAUAUAUUAAAACAAGUCAUAAAGCGAAUCAUGCAUGCAUAAAUCAUUCAUAAAACAUGGUUCCUGGUGUAUAGCAUAAACAAAAUUAUAAAUCAUUUAUCAUUAAUUAAAUUACUACUCUCAGACUAAAUGCUAAGGUUACUAUUGUAACCAUGAUAGGGUCGUAAUCGUCAAACACCAACUAUUAUUACCCGUUAGUAAGGUCAUAUGCCAACUACUAUUAUCCAUUGGCAGGAUCGUCUGCCAACUAUUAUUACCCACUGGCAGGAUCGUCUGCCAACUGUUAUUACUCGUUAGCAGGGUCGUAUAAAACUGAAUGUCAAUCUACUCUAUUUUCAGGGGUCAUACAUAGCUAUCUGAGAGCUUUUUUUGCCAUAGUUAUUAAAACAAUUUUUCUUAAGUCAUAUUUCAUGAAUCAUAUUUUCUUCAAUCAUACAUAAAUAAAACAUUAAAUAACAUUAUAGAGUUCAUAGCCCAUAAAUAAGCAUUUAACAGUAGAAUAAUCAUGAAAUUAUUGUUUUCAUAACAAAAAUAUAAUUUUAUAAAUAUGGUGUUCAUAGUUCACAAUUAUUGCUUAAUGGUAAAACAAUCAUAGAUCCAUGAAUUCGCAAUAAAUCAUGAAUUUAAUAAUAUCGUACGUUUGAUUCUUACUUUUAAGAAAACAUGAUAUUACCAAUAUUUAAUACUAUUUUCAUAUUUUUAUAAUACCAGAAAAUAAGUGAAAAAUUUGAAAAUUAGUAAGGAGUAUAGGCUUACAAGUUCAAAACUAGUAAAGAGUAUAAGAUUUACUUGCAAGUUCAAAAAUGAGUAAGGAGUAUAAGGCUUACAUCUUUAAUCUUAGACCGUUAAACAUCAGUAGGUGAUUCAGUUAACCCUAUUAAAAAUAUUAAAAACGAGAUUAAUUGCUAUUCGAAUUAAAAUAAAUAAGAAAAGAGACGGUUGGUUGGGUGACAGUGUUCAACGGCUCCGUGUAUGUCAGGUCUAGACAAUUCGCUGAAUGAAUCAUACUCAAUCAGGCCAAGAUCAAUAAAAAAGGUUCAUCAAUGGAUAUUUCACGAAUAUUCAGCAUGGCCGAGGUGAUCGAUCCAGUAGGCAGCCUCGAAUACCAGGGCAGAUCAAGGCCUUUUACAUGAGUCAACUCAAGUUCGUAAAUCAGGUCAACGGAACCUGAUAUUGGGUUCUUUAGAUCUUUUAGAGAUAGAGAGUACAAAGAGGAGAGAGAAAGUAGAGAGUGAAGAGUAGAAAGAAGUAGAGAUGGGCAUCGGGCCGGGCCGGGCCGGGCCGGGCCUACCGGACCACAGACCAAACGAGCCGUGCCUGACCUGGCCUGUUACUAAACGGGUCGUGCCUGGCACGGCCCGCUUAACCUAAAGGCUAAGCUCGGCAUGGCCCUAGGCCCGUAGGGUGGCGGGCCAUGCCGGGCCCGGCACGAGACUCGAUCUCGGAUUCGGUGUCCGGCAAAGGCUGGGAGGCCUCGGGUGGCUGAUGGAGGAGGAGAUCAUCGAGGCUGGGGCGGAUUCGGGCAGCCCGCAUGGGGACGAAGGGGGAUUCGUGGUGGAAGACGGUGGCGCGGCAGAGAGGGCAGGUGGCGUGGGAUCGGAGCCAGACGUCGAUGCAGUCGACGUGGAAGGCGUGGGAGCAGAGGGGGAGCGUGCGGAGCGAGUCGUCGUCCUCGAACUGAGGAGGCACACGGCGCAGUCCCGAUUGGUGGCGGCUAGGUGCUUGGCCUUGGACUUGGAGUAGAGUGAGAGGGGAGGGUCUUGAUCGCGGAGUCGUCGAGGCCGUAGGGAGAGCGGAAGUCGUCGGAGGAUGAGUCGAAAGACACGGCGCCGUCGGGGGGAGGGGGGGAUUCAAGGUCGGCGGCGGCGGCGCCCCCGGCAGCGGAAGCGGUGGAGGAUGCGGGCGUAGAGGACGAUGAGGAAGGUGGUGCCGACAAUGGCGACCAUGGCGAUGAGAGGGGGGCUGAAGUCGGGGGUGAUCCUCGCAGCUGGCGAUCCACCGGUGAUUGCAGGAGACGGGCCCCACUCGAACUCGUACUCCGCCUCCUUCGCCGGCGCUGCCAUGGCCCGUGGAAGAAGUUGGAGAAGAACAAAGAGGAUUCUCGGGCCUCUUAUCUCUCGAUGCCCAAAUUCGUAUUCUUCUGCUUUAUUUUGUCUGUGAUUAUUGCCACGGAGAUCGAGUUAGGGUGUUGCUUGAUGGGCCGUGGGGUGCGAGCCGUGCCGUGCUUGGCUCACGAAUCGUGCCAGCCCAGGCCCUUAUGAGCCAUGCCGGGCUCGGCCUGCGGCUCAGAAAUUCUUAACCAGCCCAACCUCCUUUUAUGAGCCGUGCUUAGCACGGCCCAUUACUGUAGCAAGCAGACCGUGCCAGAGCUUCGUGCCGGGCCAUGGGCGGCCCGGCCCAAUGCCCACCUCUAGAAAGAAGAGAGAAAAUAAGAGAGAGAACGAGGGGGAUGAUUUUCUCUCUCCUCUUCUUUUUUUCUUCUUUCUUCUUCUUUUUUCUUCUUUGAUAAACCAGAAGAGGAAGGGGAACGACUAAUGGCUGUGAUCAAGGUGGUCCAAUAAUGUGGCGGCCGAAGGUGGAGAUAAGAGGCAGAGGGCAGCGGCCGACCGGCCAAAAUCAAACCAAAACAAGGCCUAGAAAAGAAAUUUCUUAGCUUGGUGAACUCGAAUCCCAGCCCGCUCGCCAGUGACUAAAGGUCUAGCUUUGGCCAGAGACUGAUGCAGGAAAGGGGUCGAGGCCGAUAGCGAUGGUAGUGAAAAAGAGAGAAAAACAAUGAAAAUAGAAGACAUGAACAAGAGACUUUCCAGUCAAUUCUUCAACCGAUGACAAUGCCUUUGAACCAUGGAAAGAAGAAGCUAAGGGGGAAAAGAUCGGAGCUUUGCCUUAGUUCCGAUGGCGUCUCCAGCUUCGAUCACUAGCGGGCAUAAGAACGAAAACUGUGGACUCAAUGAGAGAAAAGAGGAGCAAUGGCACUCGACAAAGAUGGGUCUCUCUCUUAGAGAGGAGACCCUAGGAUCUCUACGACCCUAAAACCCCUCAUCCCGGCCGAACUCGCCGGAGGGAGAAGAGGAAGACUCCUCGGCAGAUAUGCAGAGCGAACGCAGUUCGCCCCCACCUUGGCCCGAGCUUGGGCCAAUCAAAUGGACAGGGCCCAGGCGAGCCUUCACAAAAGGUCACUCGCUUGCCCUGCUAAUCCUCUCAUGUUCUGAUAUAGCUCUGAAUUUAUUAUGCAUAACAAGGUCAGUUGACAUCAUUCAAAUACCAAGUCCGGAAAAUCAUCCCAACAAAAUUAUUCAAUGACUGAGGCUCAAAGCAAUAGAUAAUGCUCCUUUCCUGCUGGUUAUUCAGUUCUUACGAAAUGGGCCAAUUUCUGAUCAUGAAUGCGCCACAGUAAAAUUCACCAUGCAAUUGUAAGAAUAUACAAAGCACUAGCCUCAACAAACCAAAUUAUAAGGGGCUUGGGAUUUUGCUGCUCAUUUAGAAGAUCCUUUAUAAACUCGUAACUCCAAUUUUUACAUGGCAAAAGCUGGAUGAUAACACUAUAAUCCAUCCAAAACUCGAUGGAAGGAAAACAAAGACAUAAAUGAUAUCAAAAGAAGUCCGCCAGUGACUAAAAUAGUAAGGAUACACUAUGAGUGAAAAGCAACAAAGUGCCUUUCUGUGACUACCCCCUACAGCUCAACUAUAAUCCUUUUCCCUACUCCAUCUCAUGGCAGCUGGUCCUCCUCAUUACUGAAAAGCUACAGCAUGAAACAGCUUGAAAUUUAUGGUCAAAAUAUGUAUGUGAGAUAUAUAUAUAUAUCUCCUCUCUGUGGUCAAAAAAUUUAUUUGUAGUAGUUAGAACUGGCUCAUCUUUAUAAUAUAUCCAGUAAACGAAUCUUCUUCCAUGUCCCUGUAGAAAAAAAAAAUGUUCCAGUAUUUUGUUUAAAAAAAGUUAGUAAUAACAAUAUUAAGAUGAAGAGAAUAUGAAUUGAAAUUACAUAUCCUAUUAUAAUAGCAUAUUAGCAAUUAAAACGAUAACCGAAUGAUAUAAAGACUUGGAACAAAAGAUGGAAGUUUUUCUCCAUUAGAUAGCUUCUAGCAAACAGCAUAUCCACCAAAAUAACAUAUUUUGCCUCUAUUGUCUAUGUAGCUGCUAAAUUCCUACCUUGCUUCAUAAUGUUGUGACUAAUUUAGGCACUGUUUAGCAUGGUUGCCGAUUUCCAUUUUUACAAAAAAAAAAAAACACAGAAACAGAGGUAGAACAAGUGUUUGGUAAGCCAAAUUCCAUUUUCAGUUUUUCUUUGAAGCUGGCAACCAAAAAAAAAACAUGGUUUGGAACUUUUUUUGAAAAAUGGCAACCACCUCCCACCACCACCACCAGCCACCACUUGCCGCCAUUAACCAUCACUGCCAAUUGCCACCACCAGCUGUCAUUGCUGCCACUGAUCCCUACCGGCGGCCAUUGCUGGCUACCCACUGCCAGUCGGCCACCCCUGCCACCAGCCAUCACGACCGCCCGAGGCCCAUCGCCACCCACUGCCACCACCAGCCACAAGCACCAUAUUUGCCGCAAAACAAGUUUCAAUUUUCUGGGUUUUGAGGAAAAAAGAGAAAGUGGUUUUGGGUUUAAAAAACGGAAAGUUAAAACUUGGCAAGCAUGACCCUUAGGUCCAGACGCUCCAACUAUUGGUACAGAUUCCAAAAAUUUGGUGGUGUAGAAAAACCAGAAGAAGUUUGCAAAUAAAGAGGUGGUCUCAGUAGUUAAAUGACAGAAGAUUGAAGGAAGCCAAUUAGUCAGCUUAUAGGUGGUAUGAGUCAGUUCCACCGAAGCCACAUGCAUGCCUAUUUUGAAUAUAAGCUCUUUUCCUGACACUGACUUCAACAUUAACUCCUCUUCCGUAGGUUACUACUUCUGCAUCAUUCUAGACCUUCAAUUUUUCAUAGUUUGAUGAUAGGACUAGUGUCAUUAGAGCUUGUCAGGGCCUAAUUAGAUCACCUUUCAGUUGGUUCAGGUGUUGUUUAGAUAUUAAAAUUCUCAAUAAAAUCUUAGUGCUUUCUAUACUUUCAAUUACAUUAUGAAUCCAUUGAUAUAUACUCUCUCCUUCCUUAGAGUCACUUUAGAUACAUGAAAAAAGAUGUUUCAGGGCUUCUAAAGUCCUGCUGAUACACAUGCAAAAUGACAAAAUUUGCCUUGAACUAUCAACUAAUAUAUAGAAUAGGAUGGAAACUCGGGUUUAAGUCAGGUUUAUCAUGAAUUCAUAGGAGUGGCAAUUUACACCGCCUCGUUGAGUAACCGACUCUAACAAGGUGGGUUUUAACCGACCCAUUUAGAGUCGGGGAUAGCGACAUAAACUUAAAAUAAAACCCGUGUCAGAGGUGGGUAAUGGCAUACCCACCUCAAAAUCAAUCUAGGGUGUUUACUAAAAUACCCUUUUCCUAAUUGUUUGCUUUUCUUGGUUCAAGGUAUCUUUGAUUUCCUAAAGAACAUUUUUGCUAUUCGUUGUUUAUAUUAUCGUUGAAAAUUAGGUUUGUUAUAAUCUUAGUUUGUUUAAAGUUAUGUGACAUGCUAAGUUUUAAUAGCAUAUGUCAUGUUGGCUUUCAACAAAUGAAUGCCUUCUUUUUAGCUUAAGUCAGCAUCCAAUACAUGAGAGCAUAUGUCAUGUUGGCUUUCAACAAUUGGCAGACAAAAGAAAAGGUAGUUAUGUCUGACAUUCAAAUUGCAUGUCAUUAGCACUGUUCUAAAUCCAAAAUGUCUAGUGAAUGCAUGAAUAUCUUUUU
rnacentral:lncRNA from 1 species